UUGUAGAUUACUGGGCCAUUUCUCCUUGGGCAGAUCAUGAUUGGGCUUCGCUUCGUGCCAGCCAGCUUAUUUUGUUCUGCCAAAGGAGAUUUGCCCAGCAAUCCACAU
rnacentral:pre_miRNA from 1 species